GGCUUCUUAGCUCAGUUGGUAGAGCGUCUAGGUGAAAACUAGAAGGUCCCCAGUUCAAGUCUGGGAGUAGCCA
rnacentral:tRNA from 1 species